AUGACGUCCCUGUCGCGGACGCUCUCCCGGGCCGGCCCGAUGCAGCCGCCGGGGCCUCGCCGGAUUCUGCGGACGCAGACCGCCGUCAACCUCGGCGAGCCCAUCUUCGACAGUGAGGUGGUGCCGUCGUCGCUCGUGGAGAUCGCGCCCAUCCUCCGUGUCGCCAACGAGGUCGAGGCGGCCAACCCCCGCGUCGCCUACCUCUGUCGAUUCUAUGCAUUCGAAAAGGCUCACAGAUUGGAUCCAACUUCAAGCGGUCGAGGUGUCCGACAGUUCAAGACCGCUCUUCUACAACGGCUCGAAAGGGAGAAUGCGCCCACCUUGACCGGAAGGGCCCAAAAGAGUGAUGCACGGGAAAUACAGACCUUCUAUCGACACUACUACAAAAAAUAUAUUCAGGCGCUUCAAAAUGCUUCUGACCAAGGGGAUCGUUCCCAACUUACCAAAGCAUACCAGACCGCCAAUGUUCUGUUUGAGGUUUUAAAAGCAGUCACUCAACAACAUGCUGUUGAAGUUGACGAUGAGAUCUUGGAAACUGCUGAUAAGGUUAAAGAGAAGACAAAAAUCUAUAUCCCUUUUAACAUUCUGCCUCUUGAUCCUGACAGUGGCAACCAGGCAGUCAUGAAAUUUCCUGAGAUACAAGCUGCUGCUUCUGCUCUUCGCAAUACUAGAGGCCUUCCACUACCCAAAAAUUAUGAGAGUAAGGUUAACGAGGACCUCUUGGAUUGGCUACAAGCUAUGUUUGGCUUUCAGACAGAUAAUGUUUCUAAUCAGAGGGAGCAUUUGAUUUUACUUCUUGCUAACAUACAUAUACGGAAACAUCCAAAGACCGAUGAACACUCAAAGUUGGAGGACAAUGCGCUUGAUGCAGUGAUGAAAAAGUUAUUUAAGAACUACAAGAAGUGGUGCAAAUAUCAUGGUCGCAAGAGUAGCCUUUGGUUGCCAACAAUUCAGCAAGAGGUGCAACAACGGAAAUUACUCUAUAUUGGUCUAUACCUUCUUAUCUGGGGGGAAGCUGCAAAUUUGCGAUUUUUGCCAGAAUGUCUUUGCUACAUAUAUCAUCAUAUGGCAUUUGAAAUGUAUGGUAUGCUAGCUGGAAAUGUGAGUGCCAUGACAGGUGAAUAUGUGAAGCCAGCCUAUGGCGGUGAUAAAGAAGCCUUUCUAAAAAAGAUUGUCACUCCAAUUUACUGUACCAUUGCGCAGGAAGCUGAAAGGAGCAAAAGAGAAAAAGGGAAUCAUUCUCAGUGGAGAAACUACGAUGAUCUUAACGAAUUUUUUUGGUCUGCUGACUGCUUUCGGCUAGGUUGGCCUAUGCGAGCUGAUGCUGAUUUCUUUUGUCAACCUUUAAAGCCAGUUGAUGAAAGAAAUGAAAGCACAAUAAAAGCUGACAAGCAGAAAGGGAAGGUCAAUUUUGUGGAGCUGCGCUCGUUUUGGCACAUAUUCAGGAGUUUCGAUAGAAUGUGGAGCUUCUUUAUUCUAGCUCUUCAGAUUAUGGUUAUUCUUGCUUGGAGUGAAGAAGGGUCAUUAGGUAAUAUUUUUGAUCCUCUGGUUUUCAAGGAGAUCUUGAGCAUCUUUAUCACUUCUUCUAUACUAAAUCUUGGAAAAGCUACACUUGACAUAAUCUUUAAUUGGAGGGCCAGGAGAACGAUGGAAUUUAUGGUCAAGCUGAGAUAUGUCCUGAAGUUCAUAUUGGCAGCUAUGUGGGUGGUACUUCUGUCAGUUACAUAUGCGUACACCUGGGAGAAACCGACAGGAAUUAUUAGGACCAUCAAAAACUGGUUCGGAAAUGGUCCAGAUCAACCAUCACUCUUUAUCAUUGCAGUAGUCGUAUACUUGUUGCCCGAUAUGCUAGCUGCUGUACUUUUCGCUCUUCCAUUACUACGCCGGAAACUUGAAGGUUCAGAUUACAAACUCAUGAGAUUGAUCAUGUGGUGGUCUCAGACUCGCCUGUUUGUUGGUAGGGGAAUGCAUGAAAGCGCCUUUUCACUUUUCAUGUACACCAUGUUUUGGGUUGCUCUUCUUUUGACAAAGUUCGUAUUUAGCUACUAUGUCGAGAUCAAGCCUCUUGUUGUACCCACCAAGGAUAUCAUGAAAUUCCCUAUAAAUCAUUUCCGGUGGCAUGAGUUUUUUCCAAGAGCGAAGGGAAACAUUGGCGUUGUAAUUUCACUUUGGGCCCCAGUCAUUUUGGUGUAUUUCAUGGACACGCAAAUUUGGUAUACAAUCUUCUCCACUCUAGUUGGUGGAGUUUAUGGUGCUUUCCAACGACUUGGCGAGAUCCGCACACUUGGAAUGCUGCGGUCUCGCUUUGAUUCAAUACCUUUAGCCGUUAAUGAUUGUCUAGUUCCGGUUGAAACAUCUGAUGCAAGGCGGAAGAAAGGUCUAAGGUCUAAUUUCAAGAAUCGUUUCAAGGAGAUGACGCAUGAAGACAAGGAGAAGGUAGCUGCAAGAUUUGCACAGAUGUGGAAUGAAAUUGUCUCUAGCUUCCGUGAGGAAGACCUUAUAGAUAACAGGGAGAAGGAGCUGCUACUUGUUCCAUAUGUGGCUGAUCAGGGUCUUCGUGUUACGCAGUGGCCUCCAUUUUUGCUUGCCAGCAUGGUCCCCAUAGCCGUUGACAUGGCGAAGGAUAGCAAUGGUAAAGACCGUGACUUGAAAAAGAGGAUUGAAAACGAUUAUUAUUUUUCUUGUGCAAUUAAAGAAUGCUAUGCAUCAUGUAAAAACAUCAUCAAUGAUCUUGUACAUGGUGAACAAGAGAAAAGGGUCAUAAAUACUAUAUUUACUGAAGUUGAAAAGUGUAUUGCUGAGGACAAAGUUAUUACAGAUUUGAAUAUGCAAUCCCUGCCAGAUCUCUACAAUAAGUUUGUUGAAUUGGUAGAAUUCUUGAAAAAGAAUGAUGAGAAAGACAGGGUCGCUGUGAUAAAGAUAUUUCAAGAUAUGCUGGAGGUUGUAACGAGAGAUAUAAUGGAAGACCAACUUCCUAGUAUUUUGGAGUCAAGUCACGGGGGUUCAUAUCAAAGGCCAGAGGGCAUGACAGCAUGGGGUAAUGAAUAUCAGUUAUUUCAACCAUCUGGAGCUAUCAAGUUUCCACUAGAAGUCAGCACAGAGGCUUGGAAAGAAAAGGUGAAUAGGCUGGAACUACUGCUCACGGUGAAAGAGUCUGCUAUGGACGUUCCUUCAAAUCUUGAAGCCAGAAGGCGUCUUACCUUUUUCACUAACUCUUUGUUUAUGGAUAUGCCUGAUGCUCCUAAAGUCCGAAACACAAUUUCAUUUUCUGCAUUGACUCCUUAUUACAAUGAGCAUGUUCUUUUCUCAAUAAAAGAGCUUGAAGAGGAAAACGAAGAUGGAGUUUCCACUCUGUUCUACCUACAGAAAAUUUACCCAGAUGAAUGGAAGAAUUUCCAGGAAAGGAUUGAGGAAGAACUAAAAGAUAAUGAAGAACUGAAGGAAGAAGCGCUUCGUCAAUGGGCUUCAUACAGAGGCCAAACGCUAACUCGAACAGUUAGAGGCAUGAUGUACUACCGAAAAGCUUUGGUUCUUGAAGCAUUUCUAGAUAUGGCCAAACAUGAAGAUCUCAUGGAAGGGUAUAAAGCAGCUGGGUCAAUAUCGGAUGAAGAGUGGAAGUCCUUGAUUGCUCAGUGUGAAGCAUUGGCUGAUAUGAAGUUCGCCUAUGUGGUAUCAUGCCAACAAUAUGGAAAUGACAAGCGUUCUGCUCUUUCAAAUGCCCAAGACAUAUUACAGCUAAUGAGAACGUACCCUUCUCUUCGUGUAGCAUAUAUUGAUGUGGUGGAAGAUAGAGUAGGAGAGAAGCAAAUUGAGACAGCUUAUUACUCUACAUUGGUAAAGGUUGCUCUAAAUAAGGACUCUGAAUCUGCAGGUCCAGUACAAAAUCUUGAUCAGGUUAUCUACCGAAUAAAACUUCCAGGCCCUGCAAUAUUGGGAGAAGGAAAACCCGAAAAUCAAAACCAUGCAAUAAUUUUCACCCGUGGUGAAGGCCUGCAAACAAUAGACAUGAACCAGGAUAACUAUAUGGAAGAAGCACUUAAAAUGAGAAACUUGCUUCAAGAGUUCCUUACAGAAGAUGGAAUCCGGCAGCCAUCUAUACUUGGAGUUAGGGAGCAUAUUUUUACUGGCAGUGUCUCCUCCCUUGCAUGGUUUAUGUCAAAUCAGGAGCACAGUUUUGUGACUAUUGGACAACGGCUGCUUGCAAACCCUCUGAAGGUUCGAUUCCACUAUGGCCACCCGGAUGUAUUUGAUAGGCUUUUCCAUCUAACGAGGGGUGGUGUCAGUAAGGCAUCAAGGAGUAUCAACUUAAGUGAAGAUAUUUUUGCAGGGUUUAACUCAACUCUUCGUGGUGGCAAUGUAACACAUCAUGAAUAUGUGCAAGUCGGCAAGGGACGAGAUGUAGGACUAAAUCAGAUCUCCAAGUUUGAGGCUAAGGUGGCAAAUGGAAAUGGCGAGCAGACCCUUAGCCGUGAUAUCUACCGUCUUGGGCAUCGGUUCGAUUUCUUCAGAAUGCUUUCAUGCUACUUCACCACAGUGGGAUUUUAUUUCAGUACACUGUUGACAGUCUUCACAGUUUAUGUGUUUCUGUAUGGGCGCCUUUAUCUUGCUCUCAGUGGACUUGAAGAAGGGCUUGCAACACAACGGAAAUUCAGCCAUAAUCAUGCUCUUCAGGUUGCUCUUGCCUCGCAGUCUCUUGUUCAGCUUGGUUUUCUGAUGGCCCUGCCCAUGAUGAUGGAAAUUGGCCUUGAAAAAGGAUUUGGCAAGGCACUAAGUGAAUUUAUAAUGAUGAACUUGCAAUUGGCAUCCGUGUUCUUUACAUUUUCACUUGGUACCAAGACUCACUAUUAUGGACGUAUGUUGCUUCAUGGAGGUGCUCAAUACAGAAGUACCGGCAGGGGAUUUGUUGUCUUUCAUGCAAAGUUUGCAGAAAACUACAGGCUAUAUUCUCGCAGCCACUUUGUUAAAGGCAUCGAGUUGAUGACUCUGCUCAUCGUUUAUCAACUAUUUGGCCAAACUUCCCACUCAACCAUCGCAUAUAUCUUUGUUACGUCCUCCAUGUGGUUCCUAGUGUUGACAUGGCUCUUUGCACCCUUUUUAUUCAACCCCUCGGGGUUUGAGUGGGCGAAAAUUUUGGAUGACUGGUCGGAUUGGAAUAAGUGGAUCAGCAAUCGUGGUGGGAUUGGUGUGUCACCAGAAAAGAGCUGGGAAUCCUGGUGGGAGAUAGAGCAGGAGCAUCUGAAGCAUACAGGAACACUCGGAAUCAUCUUUGAGAUAAUUUUGUCCCUUCGGUUUUUCAUAUAUCAGUACGGCCUUGUGUACCAGUUAACUAUCACAAAGGAGAACAAAAGUAUCGUGGUUUACUUAAUUUCAUGGCUCGUAAUUUUGGCGAUGCUGGUUAUUUUGAAGAUCAUAUCUGUCGGAAGGCGGAGGUUCGGCGCGAACUUUCAGCUGUUCUUCCGUCUGAUCAAGUUCAUGAUAUUCGUUUCGUUCUUCGCUAUUUUGGUUGUGCUGAUAGUACUGCUUCACAUGACUAUAAAAGACAUACUUGUAUGCUUCCUGGCAUUCUUGCCCACCGGAUGGGGAAUACUGCUGAUUGCACAAGCUUGCAGGCCUCUUUUCCGGGUGACGGGGCUAUGGGGAUCUGUCCGAGCCCUUGCGCGGGCGUACGAGGUUAUCAUGGGGAUGCUUCUGUUCACACCAAUUACUGUCCUCUCAUGGUUCCCCUUCGUCUCCGAGUUCCAGACGCGGAUGCUGUUCAACCAGGCGUUCAGUAGAGGUCUGCAGAUUUCCCGGAUUCUUGGCGGUCAGAAGAAGGAGAGGGCCGCUAGCACCAAAGACUAA
rnacentral:rRNA from 1 species